AGGGAUGGAAGAGAGAGAAUCCAGUGUGGAUAAUGAGGAGCCGCGUGGCGCUGUCUGAUUGGUCCGUAUGAUUUUUUGUUUUUAUAAAUUUUAAAGUGAAUUAUCCUGUUGAAAAAAAAAUAUUUUUGAAAAUAAAAUUUAACCAAAAUCCAUAACUUUUUUUCCUCUAUAAAUAGAGACUUGGUUCGUUUGAUUUGGACACAGAAAAAAAAAAUCAAGUUUUUCACCAUUUUUAACCAAAAUUCAUAACUUUUUUUCCUCUAUUCUUCAUUAUUAUUUUAUUGCAUU
rnacentral:lncRNA from 1 species